GGGGAUGACUUGGAUUCGACGCCGGUGACGAAACCAUGGGUGCAUGCCGUGAGGGUAGCCAAUCACGUAAAUCCAAAGCUGCAUUUUAUUAGUUGCCAACGACGACAACUACGGUGCCCAACUCGCUGCGUAAGCAGCUUGUGAAGCACUAACUAAGGGUUCGUCCCUUAGCGGCCCUCAGCAAGGUUCCAGUACCGCGCUGUUGGCUGUUAUACAGAACUGGAUCGCCGUGACACUUAUCUGAGGUAGAUCGGUUAAAUCUUUUUCAGAAUCGUCUGCUACGUCCUGCCCGUUGGGCUGUAGUGGAUUAAAUUAAUAGACGGAACUAAGCAUGUAGAGCCUCUGGCGGAGUGCUGACGGACGCGGGUUCGACUCCCGCCAUCUCCACCA
rnacentral:tmRNA from 1 species